rnacentral:sRNA from 1 species
UUCCUGAUGUUUAGUCAGAAUCUCAUUUCUUGCAACUUGAAGCCAUUGGUUCAAGUCCUACCCUCAAGAGCAGCAGAAAACAAGUAUGUUCCCUCUUCCACGUGACAGUCCUCAAGAUAUUUGAAGGUGGCUAUCAUAUCUCCUCUCCGUCUGCUCUUUUCCAGGCUAAACAUACCCAGCUCCUUCAAGCA